UUAUCUUCGGGGCGGGGUGAAAUUCCCCACCGGUGGUUACAGCCCACGAACAAGCCAUGCCGCAUUAUCGGCGUCGCUUGCCGAGCCUGUGAAAUUCAGGAGCCGACGGUACAGUCCGGAUACGAGAGGAU
rnacentral:ncRNA from 1 species